GUGCCAGCGCCGCGGGUAAUACCGGCAGCCCGAGUGAUGGCCGAACCUAUUGGGCCUAAAGCGUCCGUAGCUGGGUCUGAAAGUCCAUCGGGAAAUCCACUCGCUCAACGAGUGGCCGUCCGGUGGAAACUCCACACCUUGGGACCGGAAGGCUCGAAGGGUACGUUCGGGGUAGGAGUGAAAUCCCAUAAUCCCGCACGGACCACCGAUGGCGAAAGCACUUCGAGAAAACGGAUCCGACAGUGAGGGACGAAAGCCAGGGUCUCCAACCGGAUUAGAAACCCGUGUAGUCC
rnacentral:rRNA from 1 species